GACGAACGCUGGCGGCGUGCCUAAUACAUGCAAGUCGAACGCACAGUUUAUACCGUAGCUUGCUACACCAUAGACUGUGAGUUGCGAACGGGUGAGUAACGCGUAGGUAACCUGCCUGGUAGCGGGGGAUAACUAUUGGAAACGAUAGCUAAUACCGCAUCAUAUUGAUUAUUGCAUGAUAAUUGAUUGAAAGAUGCUAUUGCAUCACUACCAGAUGGACCUGCGUUGUAUUAGCUAGUAGGUGAGGUAACGGCUCACCUAGGCGACGAUACAUAGCCGACCUGAGAGGGUGAUCGGCCACACUGGGACUGAGACACGGCCCAGACUCCUACGGGAGGCAGCAGUAGGGAAUCUUCGGCAAUGGACGAAAGUCUGACCGAGCAACGCCGCGUGAGUGAAGAAGGUUUUCGGAUCGUAAAGCUCGGUUGUAAGAGAAGAACGGGUGUGAGAGUGGAAAGUUCACACUGUGACGGUAUCUUAACAGAAAGGGACGGCUAACUACGUG
rnacentral:rRNA from 1 species